rnacentral:rRNA from 1 species
ACGUAGGUGCGCUGACAUGAGAGUCGUAGGAGCAGCACGGACGUCGGUCUGGUGGCGAGUGGCGAAUGAGGUGAGUAAUGUAUCGGAACGAGCCCAGUAGCGGGGGAUAACUACGCGAAAGCGUAGCUAAUACCGCAUACGCCCUACGGGGGAAAGCAGGGGAUCGCAAGACCUUGCACUAUUGGAGCGGCCGAUAUCGGAUUAGCUAGUUGGUGGGGUAACGGCUCACCAAGGCGACGAUCCGUAGCUGGUUUGAGAGGACGACCAGCCACACUGGGACUGAGACACGGCCCAGACUCCUACGGGAGGCAGCAGUGGGGAAUUUUGGACAAUGGGGGAAACCCUGAUCCAGCCAUCCCGCGUGUGCGAUGAAGGCCUUCGGGUUGUAAAGCACUUUUGGCAGGAAAGAAACGUCGCGGGUUAAUACCUCGCGAAACUGACGGUACCUGCAGAAUAAGCACCGGCUAACUACGUGCCAGCACCCGCGGUAAUAAAAUAAAAAAA